rnacentral:rRNA from 1 species
UACGUAGGGGGCUAGCGUUGUCCGGAAUCAUUGGGCGUAAAGCGCGUGUAGGCGGCCCGGUAAGUCCGCUGUGAAAGUCGGGGGCUCAACCCUCGAAAGCCGGUGGAUACUGUCGGGCUAGAGUACGGAAGAGGUGAGUGGAAUUCCGAGUGUAGAGGUGAAAUUCGUAGAUAUUCGGAGGAACACCAGUGGCGAAGGCGGCUCACUGGUCCGGUACUGACGCUGAGGUGCGAAAGCGUGGGGAGCAAACAGG